rnacentral:tRNA from 1 species
CCAUCGGCAGCUUAAUUGGUUCAAGCCCGCGACCUAUAAUCGCGAGACCCUCACAAGGCAAGUGGAGGUUCGACCCCUCCCCGGUGGACCA